CCGUGCUAGACGGGGAGGUAGCGGUGCCCUGUACCCGCAAUCCGCUACAGCGGGGUUGAACUCCCGUCCCGAGGGUUUGGCUUGUGGGGUCCGGCUUCUGUAAGGGGCGUUGACGGCUGGGUCUUGCGCGACGGAGCCUUCUGAACCGUGUCAGGUCCUGACGGAAGCAGCACUAAGGAAGUAAUUCCGGGUGCCGCAAGGGUGCCUGGUCCGAGUUACCUGCAGGAGUAACGCUUGGAAGCCAUUAUUCGACGGCGGGUGCGCGG
rnacentral:SRP_RNA from 1 species